rnacentral:rRNA from 1 species
CGGGGGGGGCAAGCGUUGUUCGGAAUUACUGGGCGUAAAGGGUGCGUAGGCGGCUUUCUAAGUUGGAUGUGAAAACUCUGGGCUCAACCCAGAGCCUGCAUCCAAAAACUGGAGAGCUUGGGUACUGGAGGGGAAAGCGGAAUUCCUGGUGUAGCGGUGAAAUGCGUAGAUAUCAGGAGGAACACCGGUGGCGAAGGCGGCUUUCUGGACAGUUACCGACGCUGAGGCACGAAAGCUAGGGGAGCAAACAGGAUUAGAUACCCUGGUAGUCCUAGCCCUAAACGAUGGAUACUUGCUGUGAGGGGGAUUGAAACCCUUUGUGGUCGAAGCUAACGCAUUAAGUAUCCCGCCUGGGGAGUACGGUCGCAAGGCUG